GNGGACAGUUAGCCAUCAAGGUGUU
rnacentral:piRNA from 1 species